UACGUAGGACCCAAGCGUUAUCCGGAAUUACUGGGCGUAAAGAGUUGCGUAGGCGGCAAUGUAAGCAAGGCGUGAAAGCGUGUGGCUCAACCAUACAUACAUACCUUGAACUGCAUAGCUAGAGAAUGGAAGAGGUAGCUGGAAUUCCUAGUGUAGGAGUGAAAUCCGUAGAUAUUAGGAGGAACACCGAUGGCGUAGGCAGGCUACUGGUCCAUUUCUGACGCUCAGGCACGAAAGCGUGGGGAGCGAACGGG
rnacentral:rRNA from 1 species